rnacentral:tRNA from 1 species
GUGAGUGUAGCUCAGCUGGUUUAGAGCACUGGACUGUGGCUCCAGUUGUCGCCGGUUCGAAUCCGGUCACUCACC